rnacentral:rRNA from 1 species
AUUGAACGCUGGCGGCAGGCCUAACACAUGCAAGUCGAGCGGAUGAAGGGGGCUUGCUCCUGGAUUCAGCGGCGGACGGGUGAGUAAUGCCUAGGAAUCUGCCUGGUAGUGGGGGAUAACGUCCGGAAACGGGCGCUAAUACCGCAUACGUCCUGUGGGAGAAAGUGGUGGAUCUUCGGACCUCACGCUAUCCGAUGAGCCUAGGUCGGAUUAGCUAGUUGGUGUGGUAAAGGCCUACCAAGGCGACGAUCCGUAACUGGUCUGAGAGGAUGAUCAGUCACACUGGAACUGAGACACGGUCCAGACUCCUACGGGAGGCAGCAGUGGGGAAUAUUGGACAAUGGGCGAAAGCCUGAUCCAGCCAUGCCGCGUGUGUGAAGAAGGUCUUCGGAUUGUAAAGCACUUUAAGUUGGGAGGAAGGGCAGUAAGUUAAUACCUUGCUGUUUUGACGUUACCAACAGAAUAAGCACCGGCUAACUUCGUG